UCAAGCGAUAGGUAAGGGCAUCUGGUGAAUGCCUUGGCAAUCAGAGGCGAAGAAGGACGUGAUACACUGCGAAAAGCCGUGGGGAGCUGUGAAUAGGCAUUGAUCCGCGGAUCUCCGAAUGGGGAAACCCACAGAGUAAUCUGUAUCAAUAUCUGAAUCUAUAGGGUAUUGAAGCGAACGCAGGGAACUGAAACAUCUAAGUACCUGUAGGAAAGGAAAUCAACCGAGACUCCGAGAGUAGUGGCGAGCGAAAUCGGACCAGCCAAUUUGCGAUUAGAUAAGAACCGGAAGUGUCUGGGAAGGCACAUCAUAGAGGGUGAUAGUCCCGUACGGGUAGAAAGUUUAAUUGUAAGAGAGUAGGGCGGAGCACGAGAAAUUCUGUCUGAAGAUAGGUCGACCACGAUCUAAGGCUAAGUACUACUGAUUGACCGAUAGUGAACCAGUACCGUGAGGGAAAGGUGAAAAGCACCCCGACAAGGGGAGUGAAAGAGAACCUGAAACCGGAUGCCUACAAGCAGUCGGAGGGGCAUUAAGCCCUGACGGCGUACCUUUUGUAUAAUGGGUCAGCGAGUUAGUUUAUGUAGCAAGCAUAAGCCGAUAGGUGGAUGCGUAGCGAAAGCGAGUGUUAAUAGCGCGUUAAGUUACAUGAAUUAGACCCGAAACCGAGUGAUCUAGCCAUGAACAGGUUGAAGGUUGGGUAACACCAACUGGAGGACCGAACCCACUCCCGUUGAAAAGGUAGGGGAUGAUUUGUGGCUAGGGGUGAAAGGCCAAUCAAACUCGGAAAUAGCUGGUUCUCCGCGAAAACUAUUUAGGUAGUGCGGUAGGCGAACACCAUGAGGGGUAGAGCACUGAAAGAGCUAAGGGGGAGCGAUCCUUACUAAACUUUAUCAAACUCCGAAUACUCAUGAGUGAUACUUACCAGACAGACAGUAGGUGCUAAGGUCUAUUGUCGAGAGGGAAAGAGCCCAGACCGUCAACUAAGGUCCCUAAAUUAUGGCUAAGUGGUAAAGGAAGUGGGAUAUCCAAAACAGUCAGGAGGUUGGCUUAGAAGCAGCCAUCCUUUAAAGAAAGCGUAAUAGCUCACUGAUCUAAAUAAGACGUCCUGCGCCGAAGAUGUAACGGGGCUAAAGCCAUAUACCGAAGUUACGGGAUUGUAUUGCAAUAGAUACAAUCGGUAGCGGAGCGUUCUGUAGGCCUGCGAAGGUGAACCGUAAGGUUUGCUGGAGGUAUCAGAAGUGAGAAUGCUGACAUGAGUAGCGAAAAGAAGAGUGAGAGACUCUUCCGCUGAAAGUCCAAGGUUUCCUGCGUAAAGCUAAUCUGCGCAGGGUUAGUCGGCCCCUAAGGCGAGGCAGAGAUGCGUAGCUGAUGGGAACACGGUUAAUAUUCCGUGACCAGUUAGGAAGUGACGGAUACAGUAGUUUGUACAUGCUUAAUGGAUUGUGUGUGCAAGUGAUGUGUCCCGGGAAAUAGCCCUAACGAAGACCGUACCCGAAACCGACACAGGUGGACAGGUAGAGUAUACCAAAGCGCUUGAGAGAACUAUGUUGAAGGAACUAGGCAAAAUGCUUGUGUAACUUCGGGAUAAGCAAGCCCGGUUUUAAGGCAACUUAAGGCCGGGGGCACAUACUAGGGGGUAGCGACUGUUUAACAAAAACACAGGACUCUGCGAAAUUGAAAGAUGAAGUAUAGGGUCUGACGCCUGCCCGGUGCCGGAAGGUUAAGGAGAGAUGUGAGAGCAUUGAACUGAAGCCCCGGUAAACGGCGGCCGUAACUAUAACGGUCCUAAGGUAGCGAAAUUCCUUGUCGGGUAAGUUCCGACCU
rnacentral:rRNA from 1 species